AUUGAACGCUGGCGGCAGGCCUAACACAUGCAAGUCGAGCGGAGCGGCGGACGGGCGAGUAAUGCAUAGGAAUCUGCCUGGUAGUGGGGGAUAACGUCCGGAAACGGGCGCUAAUCCCGCAUACUAUCAGAUGAGCCUAGGUCGGAUUAGCUAGUUGGUGGGGGAAAGGCCUACCAAGGCGACGAUCCGUAACUGGUCUGAUAGGAUGAUCAGGCACACGGGAACUGAGACACGGUCCAGACUCCUACGGGAGGCAGCAGUGGGGAAUUUUGGACAAGGGGCGAAAGCCUGAUGCAGCCAUGCCGCGUGUGUGAAGAAGGUCUUCGGAUUGUAAAGCUCUUUAAGUUGGGAAGCGUUACCAACAGAGUAAGCACCGGCUAACUUCGUGCCAGCAGCCGCGGUAAUAC
rnacentral:rRNA from 1 species